rnacentral:sRNA from 1 species
UCAUAUGACAGAAGUCUUAUUGCCUUUAAGACCAUAAUUGAUUAACUAUAUGACUGUAGCACAAAUACAGUGCUAUUUUGACCAAAUUCACCUGCUUUUAUACUUUAGAAAGAGGUUGGAGAACCUCUGAACAAAUUUUGUAAGCUUGUUGUGUGCUUAACUGAUUGAGUUUGAAUUGGACAAUUUAUGCAUGCUACAUUACUUUAUUCAUUAGGUGUUUAGUCUAGCCUUGAAAUCCAAAACACAAAUUACUUGUGUAUGUAUUUUGUCUUUUAAUUCUUGUUGUAUAGUAAAUGGAGGUAUCAAGAUAUACUCAAAUCAGUGAUAUUUUUUUAUGAAUAUAUAGUUGUGAUUGUUGACAUUUGUGUACUACAUUUUCAUUGCUAGUGCUGUGAGGUAUUUAUAGAAAGACGAUUUUACCAGAGCUUGAGUUUACUGUACAAUUGUUCUCCAAGACACAUUUUUAAUAAUACAUGUAGUGGAUGUCUAUGCAUUUUUAUUUAAAAAUGAUUAUUAUGUUUAUUUUCUAUGCAUUGUUUUGUGUAAAACAAGAGAUGAACAUUCCAGCAGAAUCACAGCAUACUGCUUUGGUAUGCCCUCUUUUCCCAUCCAGAAAUGACAAAUGUCACAAAGAGAUUCAAUAAAAUGGUUUGAAUUUCAAUUGAUAUGUU